CCCGCUGAACUUAAGCAUAUCAAUAAGCGGAGGAAAAGAAACCAACAGGGAUUGCCUCAGUAACGGCGAGUGAAGCGGUAAGAGCUCAAAUUUGAAAUCUGGCUCCUUUGCGUCCGAGGUGUUGUAAUUUGCAGAGGAUGUUUCGGGAGCAGUCUCCAUCUAAAAUCCUGGAACGGACCGUCAUAGAGGGUGAGAAUCCCGUAUGGGAUGGGGUGUCUGCGCCCAUGUGAAACUCCUUCGACGAGUCGAGUUGUUUGGGAAUGCAGCUCUAAAUGGGUGGUAAAUUUCAUCUAAAGCUAAAUAUUGGCCGGAGACCGAUAGCGCACAAGUAGAGUGAUCGAAAGAUGAAAAGCACUUUGAAAAGAGAGUUAAAAAGCACGUGAAAUUGUUGAAAGGGAAGCGCUUGCGAUCAGACUCGCCUUGGGGGUUCAGCCGGCAUUCGUGCCGGUGUACUUCCCCCAGGGCGGGCCAGCGUCGGUUUGGGUGGCCGGUCAAAGGCCCUUGGAAUGUAACGCCUCUCGGGGCGUCUUAUAGCCAAGGGUGCCAUGCGGCCUACCUGGACCGAGGAACGCGCUUCGGCUCGGACGCUGGCAUAAUGGUCGUAAGCGACCCGUCUUGAAACACGG
rnacentral:rRNA from 1 species